rnacentral:tRNA from 1 species
GCCAGUGUGGUACAGUGAUUUGAGCACUGGACUAUUACUCUGGAGACCAAGGUUUGAAUCCUGGCUUGGCA